rnacentral:rRNA from 1 species
GGGGAAUAUUGCACAAUGGGCGAAAGCCUGAUGCAGCGACGCCGCGUGAGGGAUGGAGGCCUUCGGGUUGUAAACCUCUUUCGCUCAUGGUCAAGCCGCAGCUUUGGGUUGUGGUGAGGGUAGUGGGUAAAGAAGCGCCGGCUAACUACGUGCCAGCAGCCGCGGUAAUACGUAGGGCGCGAGCGUUGCCCGGAAUUAUUGGGCGUAAAGGGCUUGUAGGCGGUUGGUCGCGUCUGCCGUGAAAUCCUCUGGCUUAACUGGGGGCGUGCGGUGGGUACGGGCUGACUUGAGUGCGGUAGGGGAGACUGGAACUCCUGGUGUAGCGGUGGAAUGCGCAGAUAUCAGGAAGAACACCGGUGGCGAAGGCGGGUCUCUGGGCCGUUACUGACGCUGAGGAGCGAAAGCGUGGGGAGCGAAC